GAUGAACGCUGGCGGCGUGCCUAAUACAUGCAAGUCGAGCGAACAGACGAGGAGCUUGCUCCUCUGACGUUAGCGGCGGACGGGUGAGUAACACGUGGAUAACCUACCUAUAAGACUGGGAUAACUUCGGGAAACCGGAGCUAAUACCGGAUAAUAUAUUGAACCGCAUGGUUCCAUAGUGAAAGACGGUUUUGCUGUCACUUAUAGAUGGAUCCGCGCCGCAUUAGCUAGUUGGUAAGGUAACGGCUUACCAAGGCAACGAUGCGUAGCCGACCUGAGAGGGUGAUCGGCCACUCUGGAACUGAGGCACGGUCCUGACUCCUACGGGAGUCAGCAGUGUGGAAUCUGCCGCAAAGGGCGAAAGCCUGACGGGGCAACGCCGCGUGAGGGAUGACGGUCUUCGGAUCGUAGAACUCUGUUAUUAGUGAAGAACAAAUGUGUAAGUAACUAGGCACGUCUUGACGGUACCUAAUCAGAAAGCCUCGGCUAACUACGUG
rnacentral:rRNA from 1 species